rnacentral:rRNA from 1 species
UGUAAUUGGAAUGAUAGAAAUUUAAACACUUUUUAAAGUAUCAAUUGGAGGGCAAGUCUGGUGCCAGCAGCCGCGGUAAUUCCAGCUCCAAUAGCGUAUAUUAAAAUUGUUGCAGUUAAAAAGCUCGUAGUUGAAUUUCUGUUAAAAAUAACCGGUCUGCUUUUAUUAAAAGUGGUAUCUUGGUGUGUUUUUAGCAAUAAUGUCCUUUGAAAUGUUUUUUACUUUAUUGUAAUAAAUAAUAUUCAGGAUUUUUACUUUGAGAAAAUUAGAGUGUUUCUAGCAGGCUAACGCUUUGAAUACUGCAGCAUGGAAUAAUAAAAUAGGAUUUUAGUUCUACAUUAUUGGUUUUAAGAACUAAAUUAAUGAUUGAUAGGGACAGUUGGGGGCAUUUGUAUUUAACUGUCAGAGGUGAAAUUCUUAGA